rnacentral:rRNA from 1 species
ACGGGUGAGUAAUACAUCGGAACGUAUCCUGGAGUGGGGGAUAGCCCGGCGAAAGCCGGAUUAAUACCGCAUACGCUCUGAGGAGGAAAGCGGGGGACCUUCGGGCCUCGCGCUCAAGGGGCGGCCGAUGGCGGAUUAGGUAGUUGGUGGGGUAAAGGCCUACCAAGCCGACGAUCCGUAGCUGGUCUGAGAGGACGACCAGCCACACUGGGACUGAGACACGGCCCAGACUCCUACGGGAGGCAGCAGUGGGGAAUUUUGGACAAUGGGGGCAACCCUGAUCCAGCAAUGCCGCGUGUGUGAAGAAGGCCUUCGGGUUGUAAAGCACUUUUGUCCGGAAAGAAAUCAUCGGGGCCAAUACCCCUGGUGGAUGACGGUACCGGAAGAAUAAGCACCGGCUAACUACGUGCCAGCAGCCGCGGUAAUACGUAGGGUGCGAGCGUUAAUCGGAAUUACUGGGCGUAAAGCGUACGCAGGCGGUGCUGUAAGACCGAUGUGAAAUCCCCGGGCUUAACCUGGGAACUGCAUUGGUGACUGCAGCGCUGGAGUAUGGCAGAGGGGGGUGGAAUUCCACGU